rnacentral:rRNA from 1 species
AGAGUUUGAUCCUGGCUCAGAUUGAACGCUGGCGGCAUGCCUUACACAUGCAAGUCGAACGGUAACAGGGAGCUUGCUCCGCUGACGAGUGGCGAACGGGUGAGUAAUAUAUCGGAACAUACCCUAGAGUGGGGGAUAACGUAGCGAAAGUUACGCUAAUACCGCAUACGAACUAAGGUUGAAAGUGGGGGCUCGCAAGACCUCAUGCUCAUGGAGUGGCCGAUAUCUGAUUAGCUAGUUGGUGAGAUAAAGGCUCACCAAGGCGACGAUCAGUAGCUGGUUUGAGAGAACGACCAGCCACACUGGAACUGAGACACGGUCCAGACUCCUACGGGAGGCAGCAGUGGGGAAUUUUGGACAAUGGGGGCAACCCUGAUCCAGCAAUGCCGCGUGAGUGAAGAAGGCCUUCGGGUUGUAAAGCUCUUUUGUCAGGGAAGAAACGGUGAGGUCUAAUACACUUUACUAAUGACGGUACCUGAAGAAUAAGCACCGGCUAACUACGUGCCAGCAGCCGCGGUAAUACGUAGGGUGCAAGCGUUAAUCGGAAUUACUGGGCGUAAAGCGUGCGCAGGCGGUUAUAUAAGUCAGAUGUGAAAUCCCCGGGCUCAACCUGGGAACUGCAUUUGAGACUGUAUGGCUAGAGUGUGUCAGAGGGGGGUAGAAUUCCACGUGUAGCAGUGAAAUGCGUAGAUAUGUGGAGGAAUACCGAUGGCGAAGGCAGCCCCCUGGGAUAACACUGACGCUCAUGCACGAAAGCGUGGGGAGCAAACAGGAUUAGAUACCCUGGUAGUCCACGCCCUAAACGAUGUCUACUAGUUGUUGGGUCUUAAUUGACUUAGUAACGCAGCUAACGCGUGAAGUAGACCGCCUGGGGAGUACGGUCGCAAGAUUAAAACUCAAAGGAAUUGACGGGGACCCGCACAAGCGGUGGAUGAUGUGGAUUAAUUCGAUGCAACGCGAAAAACCUUACCUACCCUUGACAUGU